GAUGAAGAACGUAGCGAAAUGCGAUAAGUAAUGUGAAUUGCAGAAUUCAGUGAAUCAUCGAAUCUUUGAACGCACCUUGCACUCCUUGGUAUUCCGAGGAGUACGCCUGUUCGAGUGUUAUGAAGCUCUCAAAACGCAAUUGGCUUAAAACCUGAUUGUUGUUUUGGAUUUGAACUUUGCCGUGUUAUAACGGCUGGUUUUAAAAGUAUUAGCUGGUACUAGAACGAAUUGGUUCUACUCAACGUGAUAAUUAUCUGAUCGUUGAGGACAUUCCUUUCACGAGGAAUGGCCAUAGUAAAUUCAAUGGACUGCUUCUAAUCUGGCUUUAAUUCUUUAUUGGAUUAACCACUUUUCAAAUCCGACCUCGAAUCAGGUGGGACUACCCGCUGAACUUAAGCAUAUCAAUAAGCGGAGGA
rnacentral:misc_RNA from 1 species